CUGCUAGGGAGUGGAACUCCUUGCCGGAGUCUGUGUUUCCUGAUGGGUAUAACCUGGGUGUCUUCAAGGCCCGAGUGAAUAGGUUGCUUAUGGGCAGACGUGCUCCACCGUAGGCCGCAUCAUCACUUACCAUCAGGCGAGAUAGCGGCCAAACGUCGGCCCAUUUAACAUAAAAAAAAACUACUCGACUCUAGCAUGGCUUGAAACUAGUUGAGUUCCUCGUCAGACAGUUACGUGAGUAAGCUGAUAACAUAAUCAUAAGAAUAAUGGCUUUAUAGUACCCUUAAAUUUUACAAUUUAAGGACCGAGUAGAUAUUGCAUUUUUUUAAGAGUAUGCUGUAUUAUUUAUUGGUCAAUAGUAGCUUAAUCUUUUGUCCUCCGACCUAUGUAUGUGUUUGUGCGCGAUUAUCUCGCGUUUGGUUGAAUCUAAAUAAAAAACCAUCAAUCUGUACAUAAUUUUGAAAAUAAAACAAUUUGCAAACUGCA